rnacentral:lncRNA from 1 species
GGAUAUACAACAAAACCGCUCGCAGAAAACAUAAAGAAAAGUGAGUAUUGCCACAACGUUUAGAUAAUGAAAAGUAGUGAAGAGGGGACUCCCCAUAUAUAUAUAUAUAUAUAUAUAUAAGACCAGAUAUCUAAGGGUCUUUUUUCUUUGUUUGAUAAACGAAUGAGUAUAGGACUGAAAAUCCUAGGGGUCUAAAGAAAAAGACUAUGAAAAGUGGGGGUAAAAAGAUGUUCUUGUUUCCUGUACCCAUAUCGAUCUACAUUACUGUAAGCCUCGGGAAACAUCUUUCUUUGGGUAAAUUGAUUAGAUUCUCUUCACAUUUGAAUAUCACGUGCAUCUCUACAAAGUACAAACCGAAUUCUUAUUUAUAAUUCUUUUUUUUUUUUUUGUCAGUUCUAAAAUAAUAAACCUUUUCUAAAUUUGAUAUUCCCUUCUAUCUAAAAUAAGUAACUUUUUGAAUAUUUAAAACAAAUUAAAAAAUUCAUCUUUUAACAUUAAUUAGCAAUAAAAUUGAUUAUAAUAAAAUUUACUAUCUUACAUAAAUACUCCUAACACAUAUUCCAACACUAUUUAUUCCAAGGACAAUGUGUGAAUGUGUAGUAUUCUAUGUGGUUCGGGCUACAUGUCGCAACAAUACAGUUAUGAAUUCGAUUAUCGUAAGAAGUAAAUGAGAUGAAUACUAGCUUAAAAUGUUUUAACUGACUUUCCUUAUUCAGUUGCUGUUAAAAAUGCUCGUACUGUUUUACUGUAGAACUGCUUAGUGUUUUUACGAGUUUUCUUUCCUUUAGUCAUUAUUUAUUGCUAUUAGUGACUGAAUCGGAGUACUCACUUUACUUCCUGCACCAUGUGUGCAGAUACAGGUUCCAUGAAGGCACAGUUGAGUUUCAGCUGCUAUCUAGAUUAUCAUCGGAGUCAUCAAGGUAGCUGCAUGGCAUCCGCAGGACCGAUUUCUCCACUUAUCCUCUUUAUUUCUCCGCAUUCCAGACAACUCUAUCUAUAGGGUGAUACUCUGACAUGAAUUAGAGGCUCGUGACUAGUGACACCAUAUCGGUGGGAUUUGUAUUGAUAUUUUAUGAUUUUCCGCACUAUUUAACUACUGUUUCAGAAUUUUAAUCAUGGUAAUUUGGCAUUAAUUCUCGUUAAUUGGAAACAAGCUUUUGUGUAAGAGAUUGGGAGUGAUGAAUUGGUCGGUCUUGCCUAGCAUUGUCUUGGGCACCA